AGUGGCUUCUGCCUCAGGUAACCUGAACUUUGUUGUGAUUAUCUGUAUUCACCUGUCUCUCCACAUUUGGGACAAGCCUUUUGCCUGGUGAUGUCAGUUCUCUAGGUCUAAGAAAAGUCAUUGCUUUUCUGUUGCCUCAAUGUCUUUCUUAUUUUAAGGCUUGGAAUGGCAAUUUCUAAGCUCUUACUCUACACUUCAAUUUCUAAGCUCUACACUUCAGAGCUUGAUAUUAAACAUUUGGGUUGGAAUUUUUUUUGUACUUGGGGUUUGAGUGUCCGGAUUCAUGUUCAUAGUCCAAACAUCACCAAUAAGCCUGCACAGGUGGAAGUAUUAAUGCUCAAGAGCAGCGCACCUGAUGUUCUCCUGACAUCAACGGAGUACUCCAAGAAUGGCUCUUAUAUCAGGACAGAGAAGUAUUUCUAAGCUAUGGUGGACCUUGGUUUGAUCAUUCAUUGGAACUUGAUAACUUGCCAAAGUUAAGUGAACUUUCAUCUGAAAGGCAGUUGACUGCUUCUCCUCCAGGUCUUGAGCUUACAUUCCAUGCAGGAAGAAGAGGGAAGAA
ensembl:lncRNA